rnacentral:rRNA from 1 species
UACGUAGGGUCCGAGCGUUGUCCGGAAUUACUGGGCGUAAAGAGCUCGUAGGUGGUUUGUCGCGUUGUUCGUGAAAACUCACAGCUCAACUGUGGGCGUGCGGGCGAUACGGGCAGGCUAGAGUUCGGUAGAGGAGAGCGGAAUUCCUGGUGUAGCGGUGAAAUGCUUAGAUAUCGUCAAGAACACCUAUAGCGAAGGCAGCUUACUAGGCUGUAACUGACGCUGAGGCACGAAAGUGUGGGGAUCAAACAGG